rnacentral:rRNA from 1 species
UACGUAGGGCGCAAGCGUUGUCCGGAAUUAUUGGGCGUAAAGAGCUCGUAGGCGGACUGUCACGUCUGCUGUGAAAAGCUAGGGCUUAACCCUGGCCUUGCAGUGGAUACGGGCAGACUAGAGGUAGGUAGGGGAGAAUGGAAUUCCCGGCGUAGCGGUGAAAUGCGCAGAUAUCAGGAGGAACACCGGUGGCGAAGGCGGGUCUCUGGGCCGAUACUGACGCUGAGGAGCGAAAGCGUGGGGAGCAAACAGG